GACGAACGCUGGCGGCGCGCCUAACACAUGCAAGUCGAACGGGACUAUGCGAGAUGAAGUUUUCGGAUGGAAUUUUGUGUAGUUUAGUGGCGGACGGGUGAGUAACACGUGAGCAACCUGCCUUCGAGAGGGGAAUAACGGCUGGAAACGGUCGCUAAUACCGCAUAACAUACGGGAGGGACAUCCCUUUUGUAUCAAAGAUUUAUCGCUCGAAGAUGGGCUCGCGUCCGAUUAGGUAGUUGGUGAGGUAACGGCCCACCAAGCCGACGAUCGGUAGCCGGACUGAGAGGUUGAACGGCCACAUUGGGACUGAGACACGGCCCAGACUCCUACGGGAGGCAGCAGUGGGGGAUAUUGCACAAUGGGGGAAACCCUGAUGCAGCGACGCCGCGUGUAGGAAGACGGUCCUCUGGAUUGUAAACUACUGUCCCAGGGACGAAGAUGACGGUACCUGGGGAGGAAGCUCCGGCUAACUACGUGCCAGCAGCCGCGGUAAUACGUAGG
rnacentral:rRNA from 1 species